UGGCUGUGAUGAAGACUUUUUGCCACCAUUCGCGGUUUCCACCAGAGACGAUCUUUUGAUUGUUGAAGAUGGUCCUAGUCCUUCCUUGGAAGUCUGAGCUA
rnacentral:snoRNA from 1 species